rnacentral:rRNA from 1 species
AACGAACGCUGGCGGCGCGCCUAACACAUGCAAGUCGAACGGCCGAUGGGGCUUGCUUCAUCGGCAGUGGCGGACGGGUGAGUAACGCGUGGGGACCUGCCUUUCGGCUCGGGACAACCGUGGGAAACUACGGCUAAGACCGGAUACGCCCCGGGUUUAAUCCGGGGGAAAGAUUCAUCACCGAGAGAUGGACCCGCGUCCGAUUAGCUAGACGGUGGGGUAAUGGCCUACCGUGGCUUCGAUCGGUAGCCGGCCUGAGAGGGUGGCCGGCCACACUGGGACUGAGACACGGCCCAGACUCCUACGGGAGGCAGCAGUGGGGAAUCUUGGACAAUGGGGGCAACCCUGAUCCAGCGACGCCGCGUGGGUGACGAAGGCCUUCGGGUUGUAAAGCCCUUUUGCCGGGGACGAUGAUGACGGUACCCGGAGAAUAAGCACCGGCUAACUCCGUGCCAGCAGCCGCCGUAACAC